rnacentral:lncRNA from 1 species
CUAACUAUUUAAUAAUUAAUAUUAAUAUUUAUAUUGAUGUACCAACUAUUUAAUAAUUAUUAUUUUAAAAUUAAAAUUUAAUUCCAUAAAUAUAAUUUAAGCUACCUGGAACAGCAGUUGAAAAAUGAUCAUUAAUUAAUUUAUAAAAAUUAGUGCUCAAUAUAUGUUAUUGUAUAUACAUAAAGAGUGAGGCUACUAUGUUAUCGGAAGUACGGAGCCUUCCGUGCUUCCAGUUCGUUUUCGAUGUUGCGACUUUCGAAUCGUCGAUCGGCUCCGUUAAACUUGAUCUAGAGUAUUUGAAGUACCUAGAAAAUAAAUUUUAUGAUUUUACGAUAUCAUUUGCCUAGUGAUCGAANAGUAUUUGGAGUACCUAGAAAAUAAAUUUUAUUAUUUUUCGAUAUCAUUUGCCUAGUGAUCGAAUGGGCUCAAAAUCAACAAAUUUCAAUGGCCGUAGUGAGCCGUUUGUAAGUUUAACGGUGUAGAAAUAUCCAAAUCACGUGAAAUUUUGAUAGAAAAUUUUUUAUACUAUAUAAAACAAGAUCAAUAUCUUUGAUUUAAAAUUUUAAUGUCGUAUUAUUACAUUUUGUAAGAUUUUUAUUUUCAGUCGUUGAUUUUGAGCCCCUUCGUUCACUAAGCAAAUGAUAUCGUAAAAUCAUAAAAUUUAUUUUCUAAGUACUUCAAAUACUCUAGAUCAAAUUUAACAGAGCAGAUCGACGAUUCGAAAGUCGCAACAUCGAAAACGAGCUGGAAGCACGGAAGGCUCCGUGCUUCCGAUAGCAUAGUAGCCUUACUCUAUACAUAAAUACUUUGAAUAUUGUAAAAAAAUA